UUUUCAGCACCUUAGGCUAUAAAUAGAGGUGCUUCCUUUGUAAAAUUGAGAUUGGAAUUAAUCUAAGAAAACUCUACUCAAAUUUUGAGUGAACUUUGGAGAGCUUUGAGCCUUCUUCUCUAGUCUUAUCUUGAUGGAUCAAUGGAGUCCUCAAGUGGCGGCAUCACUCUCAUCUAGGAGCAUUCCACACUUUUAGUGGCGAGAUCAUCCAU
rnacentral:lncRNA from 1 species